rnacentral:rRNA from 1 species
AGAGUUUGAUCCUGGCUCAGAUUGAACGCUGGCGGAAUGCUUUACACAUGCAAGUCGAACGGUAGAGGGGGCAACCCCUUGAGAGUGGCGAACGGGUGAGUAAUGUAUCGGAACGUGCCCAGUCGUGGGGGAUAACGUAGUGAAAAUUACGCUAAUACCGCAUACGAUCUAUGGAUGAAAGCGGGGGAUCGCAAGACCUCGCGCGAUUGGAGCGGCCGAUAUCAGAUUAGGUAGUUGGUGGGGUAAAGGCUCACCAAGCCAACGAUCUGUAGCUGGUCUGAGAGGACGACCAGCCACACUGGAACUGAGACACGGUCCAGACUCCUACGGGAGGCAGCAGUGGGGAAUUUUGGACAAUGGACGCAAGUCUGAUCCAGCCAUUCCGCGUGCAGGACGAAGGCCUUCGGGUUGUAAACUGCUUUUGUACGGAACGAAAAAGCUCUUAUUAAUACUAGGAGUCCAUGACGGUACCGUAAGAAUAAGCACCGGCUAACUACGUGCCAGCAGCCGCGGUAAUACGUAGGGUGCAAGCGUUAAUCGGAAUUACUGGGCGUAAAGCGUGCGCAGGCGGUUAUAUAAGACAGAUGUGAAAUCCCCGAGCUUAACUUGGGAACUGCAUUUGUGACUGUAUAGCUAGAGUACGGCAGAGGGGGAUGGAAUUCCGCGUGUAGCAGUGAAAUGCGUAGAUAUGCGGAGGAACACCGAUGGCGAAGGCAAUCCCCUGGGCCUGUACUGACGCUCAUGCACGAAAGCGCGGGGAGCAAACAGGAUUAGAUACCCUGGUAGUCCACGCCC